AGGACGAACGCUGGCGGCGUGCUUAACACAUGCAAGUCGCACGAGAAAGGGUAGUAAUACCUGAGUAAAGUGGCGCACGGGUGAGUAACACGUGAAUAAUCUACCUCCGAGUGGGGAAUAACUGAGAGAAAUCUUAGCUAAUACCGCAUAACACUUACGAGUCAAAGCAGCAAUGCGCUUGGAGAGGAGUUCGCGGCAGAUUAGUUAGUUGGCGGGGUAAUGGCCCACCAAGACGAUGAUCUGUA
rnacentral:rRNA from 1 species